UUGGAGGGCAAGUCUGGUGCCAGCAGCCGCGGUAAUUCCAGCUCCAAUAGCGUAUAUUAAAGUUGUUGCAGUUAAAAAGCUCGUAGUUGAAUUUCGGGACCAGUAUGUUGGUCGUGCUUCGGUACGUACUGUCAUUACUGGUUUCUCCCUUCUGAAGAACCUUGAUGUCAUUAAUUUGGUGUCUUGGGGAAUCAGGACUGUUGCUUUGAAAAAAUUAGAGUGUUUAAGGCAGGCAUACGCUUGAAUACAUUAGCAUGGAAUAAUGAAAUAGGACGUUUGAUUCUAUUUUGUUGGUUUCUAGGAUCGACGUAAUGGUUAAUAGGGAUAGUUGGGGGCAUUAGUAUUCAAUUGUCAGAGGUGAAAUUCUUGGAUUUAUUGAAGACUAACUACUGCGAAAGCAUUUGCCAAGGAUGUUUUCAUUAAUCAAGAACGAAAGUUAGGGGAUCGAAGACGAUCAGAUACCGUCGUAGUCUUAACCAUAAACUAUGCCGACUAGGGAUCGGAUGAUGUUAAUUUUUUAAUGACUCAUUCGGCGCCUUACGGGAAACCAAAGUGUUUGGGUU
rnacentral:rRNA from 1 species